UGGGGAAUAUUGCACAAUGGAGGGAACUCUGAUGCAGCAACGCCGCGUGCGGGAUGACGGCCUUCGGGUUGUAAACCGCUUUCAGCCAUGACGAAGCUUUUGUGACGGUAGUGGUAGAAGAAGCACCGGCUAACUACGUGCCAGCAGCCGCGGUGAUACGUAGGGUGCGAGCGUUGUCCGGAACUAUUGGGCGUAAAGAGCUUGUAGGCGGUUUGUCGCGUCGAAAGUGUAAACUCAGUGCUUAACGCUGAGCCUGCUUUCGAUACGGGCUGACUAGAGGAGGGUAGGGGAGAAUGGAAUUCCCGGUGGAGCGGUGGAAUGCGCAGAUAUCGGGAGGAACACCAGUGGCGAAGGCGGUUCUCUGGACCUUUCCUGACGCUGAGAAGCGAAAGCGUGGGUAGCAAACAGG
rnacentral:rRNA from 1 species